UAACAGCUGACGGCCUCAGGGAUCAGAUAAAGAGCAACAUGAGGCCUGGGUCAAAGGUCAUACUUCUCACCCCGGAGCACCGGUUGAUUCACAGGCAUUAUUCUAGACGCUGAACAGUGCCAGAAAGAGGUCCUAAUGGGUCCUAAAAAGGGGAAAAAGUGAGAAAAAGUCAUCAUAAGAAGAGCAGGUGUCUCCCGGGAAGAGUGUGAGCACUGAACAGGAUGUCUACGUGUCCCAGGCCAGAAUCAAAGGAUGGAAACAGCUGCUGACACUGAUGUCACAUCUCACUAUCUUCAUCAUGAAUCCACUCUGAGAAACACCUGAUGUAGACACAAACAUCUGUCAGCGUCGGUUUGGGCAUAAAUCUUUGUAAUUAGUACGCACACAUUUGACACAUUGUGCUAUUCCACUUCAGAUGAGUGCUGAUA